UUUAUUUUGUUUGUUUGUUUUUUGACAGAGUCUUGCUUUGUCGCCCAGGUUGGAGUGCAGUGGCACGAUCUCGGCUCAGUGCAACCUCCGCCUCCUGAGUUCAAGUGAUUCUCCUGCCUCAGCCUCCCUAGUAGCUGGGAUUACAGGACAAGGAGAGGGACAAAUUCCUUCUUGGCAUCCUUAUGGCCCUGUGACCUGCUAAUGAAUGCUGACUCUGAGUUGCUACUAGAAUUUGGUUUCCUUGUGGCUUCCCAGGAAUUGUGAGCCAUGUUGGAUAAGGACCUGCAAGGGAAGAAUGAGGAAGCCUGGGACAGUGCAGGAGGGGAGAGCACUGGUGGUAGAGAGGAGUGAUGACAAGGGUCUCCGCCAAAAGGGAAAUGGAGGGGUUAAAGAAGCUGCUGGGGAGGGUUAAAAACAAUGUGUUCUCACUCGUAGGUGGGAAUUGAACAAUGAGAACACUUGGACAC
rnacentral:lncRNA from 10 species